GCUGCACCUUGAAGGUCCGAUUGUGAUAGACAAGGAAAGGUUUCCAGGCGAAGGGUAAAAACACAGCUGUUGGGUACUGAGGUGCGUCAUGGGCUGGAGGGUGGGGCCCCUGCUCCACUUAACCCAGCUCACCCACAGGUGUAGAAAUGUCUGUUCUCCACAUUCACCCCCCUCCCACUCCUUGCCCUUGCCCACCAGCACUUCUGCCCACGAUGGGCACAGCAGGUCAUGCUAAUAGCUUACAUGGGAAUGUGGGAAAUAAGGUCAUUCUGUUCCCGUUCCAGUCUUGUUCUGGGGAAAUGUUUAGCAACCCACUGAGUGGGGAGGGGGACUUGGAGCAUCUGCCAGUUGCCACAGGGUAAAUACUCCCAUCUCAGCUAAAACCUCACGAAAAUUGCAACAUCACUAAAUACACAGCUCUUGUGAGCCCCGAAGAGCCAACUCCAGGCCAUCACCCUACCUACUCCCUCCUGGAAAAGUCUGCCUAAAGGUGGAUGAGAACUGCUCCUGAACGCUGUGCCUUCUCAAUGCGGUGCAGACCCUUCAUGCCCCACCUCUUCUUUCUUCAGCUGGGCUUGGCAAUCUUUGCCUUUCAGGGAGUGGUACAGAGAUAGAGCUGAAAGGGCGCCUGCCCAGGGAGCUGCUGGAGACAACAGAUGCACCUCAAUUCUGAACCCCUGUCCCCAUGGGCACAGGGACACAGCCCAAGACAAACAUGGAAACCAGCUCCUGGGGCUUCUAGGAGACGACAGUUCAUGGCAUACAGCCGAAUCCUCAGUGGAAACUUGGAGUCUUAACCACUGGACCUCCAGGGAAGUCCCAUGCUGCAUCAUUUGAUGGACCUAGGUACCCCAUUCCCUUGGACAUGGUGAUGUGCUGAGGAGCCCAGUUGUCCAGGUUAAUGGCAUCACCGUCAUGAGUUUGAGUAAGCUCCGGAAGUUGACGAUGGACAGGGAAGCCUGGCGUGCUGCAGUCCAUGGGGUCGCAAAGAGUCAGACACGACUGAGCGACUGAACUGACCUUAGGUUAAAACGUCCCCAAUUUUGCUGUUGGGGAGACACUGCCUUGGAGGAAAUGCCCCUCGUUUUCCUUUCUUGCUGUUGUAAUAAAUCCUUCCUUCUGAUCCUUUUGCUUGGUUGUGACACCCACCAGUGUUCUUUCCUGGAGAAUCCCAGGGACAGGGGAGCCUGGUGGGCUGCCAUCUAUGGGGUCACACAGAGUCGGACACGACUUAAGUGACUUAGCAGCAACAGACACCCACCAAGGGAUGAACUCAGUUUUCAGGGAACACCUUCCCUUCCAUUCCCUUCCCUUUCCUUCCCUUCCUUUCCUCCUUUCUAGCUUUUGGGAAAGCUUCAGGAAGGUUCCUGGUGCUCUUUAAGCCCCUAGGGAGCCUAAAGCUCACCCCUCAUUUCUAACCCCACCCCAACCCUAAGCCCUUCCCCAACCAGCAGCACAGGGCUCAUUAAAAAAAAAAAAAAAAAAACUAUUCAAAACUCAAGUAUCUAGCAGCCUCUCUGGUAACUGCAAGUGAGAACCUGAGUAAGAUCUGUAAAGAUCAUGUGAGUCAAGGGGGAAAUAAGGUCUAAUUUACGGAAGUCUCGUUUUGACCAGAUUUUCCCCAACCUCUGUCCACCCACCUAACCCCCCACCCACCCCGCGCGGGGUUUCCAACCCUCCCAGCCAGCCUUUCCUGACCCACCGUCCGUGACCCACCUUUCAGGCCAGGCUCCCAGUCCCCUCCCAUGGAAAUAUGACCUGUCACCUCAGCCGCUGGCUCAGACCACACACCGGGACACAGCCCAGCAGGAAAAGUCCAGAAGUGAUCAUCCCCACAGGCUCACGCCCCCUGGAGCAUCGCGGGACUCUGAGCACCGCCCAGAUCCGCAUCCGGAGCCUGGGCGGCGAGGGGGCGCGGGGGGUCCCGGUCUCUAACCCCCAGGUUCCAGGAAGUCUGCCGAGAGGCUGCACGCCCCCUCCUCCCACUUCCCGUCCUCCCCUCUCUCCCCGCCUUUCCCUCCGCCCCAUUCCCGGAUUGAAUUCCGGAAGAGUCCCCGAGCCUGCCGUGGGGUCCUGCAGGCGGUCCCUCUCCCGUCUGCUUUCUCUAUUAUUCUGAUCGACUCUCGGGGACACCGUUUGUCAACUGUCGAGAGCUAUGCAUAUGACCGGGGAAACCAGGACUGUGUCGCUUCAGAAAGCCGGGAGCAAGACACGCCCCAGAGCUGGUUUAACCUGCUGUAACUAGACUGGCUGAAUUAACUAUCCCUCAACUGGACACAUGACCACUCAUUCCUAUGGAGGACUUUCAUCUGACAAACAUUUUCUCCUCUCCUUUGUCCAUCCCACUGGGAAGCAUCAACUGGCUACUCCUCCUCCAUCCUGACUCCGCCCCCAUCACCUGUCUGCCUCUCCCUCCUCCACCUUACCUAGUCAGUCGCUUGGAUCCUCCCCAAGCUCCACUGCUUAGCUCAGGCUCAUCAGAGCUCACCUGAACUGCGGUAGCCUCCUCCCCAUCUACCCAUCUACCCCAGCUCCAUUCCCCAUAAAAGCAGGUCUCAGCUUGCCACUUCUCUGCUGCUAAUCCUGUUUUGCAUCAGAGGCCAAGGCCCAGCCCUCAGGGACCAACGAGCAGGACAAACCAGGGUGCCUGAAUAAAACAUGCCUCUUCCAGUCAGUCACCCAGGAGAAACUUACUCAUCCCAGGAGGGGAGGCGGGGGAAGAAGCUCUAGGGAGGAUUCUGGCCCAGCCAACUCUCAUCAACCGAGGUGAGGAAGGGGGACACGGUGGUGGCUCAGCCUGGGGUAAGGACUAGACCCCAUUCCACUUACAAACUGCCCUCUGCUUUUCUUAGAUGUUCAACCUCAUUCAUAAAAUCUGCUCAGUUGCUCUGUCGUGUCCAGCUCUUUGUGACCCCACAGACUGUAGCCUGUUAGGCUCCUCUGUCCAUGGGAUUCUCCAGGCAGGAAUACUGGAGUGGGUUGCCAUUUCCUUCUCCAGGGGAUCUUCCCGACCCAGGGAUUGAACCCUGGUCUCCUGUAUUACAGGCAGAUUCUUUACCAUCUGAGCCACUGGAGAAGCCCCCAUUCAUAACAUAAGAAAUGUAAAUUAAAACUACAAGAUACCAUUUUUCACCUAUCAGAUGAGCGAAACCAGAAACCCAGCAAAAGGGAGCUCAUGCCUGUCGAGGUCAAGGUGUGUGAAAACAGUCUGAAAGUUAAUUGGCACAGUCUCUUUAAAGGGCCAACUGGUAAUACUUGUCAAAAAAUUAUAUAUACAAACUCUUCCUCCUAGCAUUUCCACUUUCAGAAAUUUACCCUGCAGGUAUACAGGUGCCCUGGUGGCUCAGACGGUAAUGCAUCUGCCUGCAAUGCGGGAGACCCGGGUUCGAUUCCUGGGUCGGGAAGAUCCCCUGAAGAAGGAAAUGGCAAUCCACUCCAGUACUCUUGCCUGGAAAAUCCCACGGAUGGAGGAGCCUGAUAGGCUACAGUCCCUGGGGUCGCAAAGAGUCGGACACGACUGAGCAACUUCACUUUCCUUUCCUUUCCUUAUACAGGUGCCCCAGGGUUUUCCCAGUGGAUCAAUGGUAAAGUAUCUGUCAAUGCAGGAGACAGUGCGGGUUCUACCCCAGAAUUCGGAUGAUCCCCUGGAGGAGGAAAUGGCAAUUCACUCCAGUAUUCUUACCUGGAAAAUCCCAGAGACAGAGGACCCUGGCAGACUAUACAGUCCAUGAGGUUGCAAAAGAAUUGGACCUGACUGAGCAACUAAACCAUAACAACACCAUACAGGUGCCCUAACGUAUGUAUAAUAUGCAUCAGGAUAUUCACUGAACUAUAGCUUUCAUAGUUUCCAUUUGGAACCAAAAUAGGAGGGUAGUUAAUAAGUUCUACUUCAGCAAUACAAUUAAAUAUUACGUUCUAUUUAAAAGAAUGAGGCAGCUAAGUACUAAAAUUAAGUGAUCCUAAUUAAGAUUUAUCAUGUGCAAAAGCAAAGUGCAGAACAGUGAGUACAGCAUUUAAAGCUUAUGAUUUAAAAAAAAAAAAAGUAAACAUUUCAUAAGUAUAGAGUGUCUUUGGAAGGAAACAAUCAACAACAGUGUUGUGGAGUGGGAUGCUGGGAGACCAAGAAUAUAAAUGGGAGGAAGACUUUAUGGUGUGUGCCCUUUGAAUUUUGUGAAAUAUUAUCAAAUCCAGCAAAAUAUCAUGAAUGUAUAUUUCAUAUGUAUAUUAUGUAUGUGUGUGUGUAUAGAAUAAUUUUAAGUGUAAGGGACCUUUUAAAAAAUAUGUUUAUUUAUUUAUUUGGCCAUGCCUUGAAGCUUGCAGGAUCUUAGUUCUAUAACCGGGGAUCAAAACUCAGCAGUGGAUGUGCACAGUCCUAACCCCUGCACCCCGAGGGAAUUCCCUAAAAGGAGAGGAUUUUUCUACCCUGCUGCCGUCUAUGGGGUCGCACAGGGUCGGACACGACUGAAGUGACUUAGCAGCAGCAGCAGCAGUGCUCCGUGAGAGAUGGUGAUAAGCGUACUGCAUGGCCCUGCCCCUUCCAGACCUCAAUUUUCCAUCUAUACAAUGGCAGUCUCGGGGACUGCAAGGACAUCAAACCAGUCAAUCCUAAAAGAAGUCAACCCUGAAUAUUCAUGGAAGGACUGAUGCUGAAGCUGAAGCUGCAGUACUUUGACUACAUGAUUUGACAAGCCGACCCAUUGGAAAAGACCCUAAUACUGGGGAAGAUUAACGGCAGGAGGAAAAGGGGGUGACAGAGGAUGAGAUGGUUGGAUAGCAUCACCAACUCAAUGGACAUGAAUUUGAACAAACUCCAGGAGAUAGUGGAGGCCAGAGGAGCCUGGUGUGCUGCAGGUCCGUGAGGUUGCAAAGAAUCAGACACAACUUACCAAAUGAAUAACAGUGAGAGUUUGAGACUAGGUUCCUGCCUUACUUCUUAAUCUUACAGCUAACCAACCAAACCAGUACCGAUGUAGUGGCCAUAAGAUGACCUUUGAUGGGCUGGGGAAGGGAUGGUAUAAAAUGGCAUUAAUGAAUGAGCAAAGUCCGGGAGAUAGUGGAGGACAGGGAAGUUGGGCGUGCUGCAGUCACUGGGGCUACAAAGAGUUGGACAUGACUUAGCAACUAAAAAACAACAACAACAAUAAAAGUCGGAGGCACUGCCAUCAGUUGAACAGGAUCACUCCUGUGGCUUUGGAGCAAGUGAUCAUGGGAAAGCUGCAUCUGCCUGCAUUGGGGACACCUGUCUCUCCUGCAAAUCAGUUCCCUAGGGCUUGGCAGCUUCUUCCCUCCCAUCACCUAUCUGCUUCUUCCAUCACCAAUCUGCCCACCUGCCUCUAUCCCUGAGGCCCUCAGGGAGGAGCUGACCCAGGGAAGGAGCUAGAGACAGCAGUGGAACAAGUUCUAUGGGGCAGAGGGAAGGCGCCUACCUCCCUAUUUAUUAACUGAGGUCCUGGCCUCCCUCCGGCCCUGAUCUAGGCAGAUCAGGCUCUGCCUAGCUUAGCCUGCCUGCCCGCUCCUCCCCACCUCCCUGUGCCCAUUCAAAGGAGGCAGCUCUCAUAUAUGCUGGAGCUUGACACACCCAGCUCCUUCCACCAGUCUAGCCUUCUCCUCUAACAGAAGAUGUCUGUGCCUGAGGCUGGGAGACCUGAGAUGCCUGCUAUGUUGAGCCUCCCUGGGAGGUGAGACCUGGCAAUCUGAGCCUUCAGAGCACACCCAGAGCCCCAGUUAGCAGGCAGCCAUCUCUCUCCAAAGCCUCCUGCUGGGCUCAGCACUGGCCUUUUCUCUCUCUGUCUCUUUACGAAAAAAAAAAGUAUUUAUUUAUUUGGUGGUAUCAGCCUGUAGGAUCUUCAAUCUUCGUUGCAGCAUGCAAGCUCUUAAUUGUGGAAUUGUCUAGUUCCCUGACCAGGGAUCGAACCCAGAUCUCCUGCGCUGGGGGCACGGAGUCUUAGCUACUGGACCAGCAGGGAGUUUCCUGGCCUUUUUCUUAAUGAUCUUAAUGAUGAGAGCCAAAGGGAAAAUACAUGGGAGUCAGAGGAACUGAGGCUGGAUAUUUUCCUGGCCCUUAUUCUCUCUCUCCCAUCCACCCUGGGUUUUCUGUUCCAGAUCAGCCCUAGCCCCAUGAUGAAGUCACUCUCCUUCUUGGGGCCUUCUAGUCCAGCUUCAAGAAGAGGGGCUUGGGCCCAGGAAGCUGCUUGUUACCAGAUGCCCCCAGGUGGUUCCAAGGCAGGUGCUGGGUGGACAGGGUUAAAGAAGCAGCUGUCUUGUACAUUCCAGAAAGGCUUUGUCUUACAUUCCUCCUGGAUGUACCCCUAGAAGCCAAGGGUCUGAAGUGAGCAACCAAGAGGCUGGGGCUUCUGGAAACAAGGCAGAUGAUCCUCUUUGUGGGACUUGACUCUGAAAGCUGCUACCAUCAGUGGUUAGGAUUCUGAGCUUCUACUGCCCGGGGCCCCAGUUCAAUCCCUGGUCAGGGAACAAGAUCAUACAAGCAACACAUUGCAGACAAAUAAAUUAAAAAAAAAAUUUUUUUUAAAGAAAUACCAAUCUUACAACCCAGCCAUUGCGUCCUUCGAUUCUUACCCAAGAAUGAAAACAUGUCCACACAAAGACGUUACACAAAUGUUUGUAGGAGUUUUUCUGGUAAUAACCCCAAACUGGAAACAACACAAAUAUCGACCAUUAGAAUGGAUAAACAAAUAUGGUAUAUCCAUACAACAGAAUGUUACUCAGCAGUCAAAAGGAACAAACGAUUGAUUCACACAACAUGGAUGAACUUCAAAAUAAUUAUGUUGAGUGAAAGAAGACCAAAAAGAGUAUAUUCUGUUUGAUUUCAUUUAGGUAAAAUUCUAGAAAGGGAAUCAGUGGUUACCUGGGGCGAAGGUAGAGAGAAAGAGGGAGAGAUUACAAAAGGGCACGGGACUUCCCUGGUGGUCCAGUGGUUAAAACUCCUUGCUCCCAAUGCCGGGAGCAUGACUUUGAUGCCUGGUCUUGGUCCUGCAUACUCCACAACACAGCCAAAAUAAUAGUGAUAAUGGCAUGAAGAAACUUCUAGGUAUGAUGAGUAGGUUCAUUACCUUUAUUAAAGUAAUGUUGACACGUGUUGAAACCCAAAUUAUUUUGUGCUUUGAAUAUGCACCGUUUGUUAUGUGUCCAUUGUAAUUUAAACAAAUUUUAUUGGAAGAUAUUUGCUUCGUAUUGUGCUGAUUUCUGCUAUCCAUCAACAUGAACCAGCCACAGGUAUACAAAUGUCCCCUCCCUCUUGAG
ensembl:lncRNA